rnacentral:rRNA from 1 species
UACGAAGGGGGCUAGCGUUACUCGGAAUUACUGGGCGUAAAGCGUGCGUAGGUGGUUCGUUAAGUCUGAUGUGAAAGCCCUGGGCUCAACCUGGGAAUGGCAUUGGAUACUGGCGGACUGGAGUGCGGUAGAGGAUGGCGGAAUUCCCGGUGUAGCAGUGAAAUGCGUAGGGAUCGGGAGGAACAUCUGUGGCGAAGGCGGCCAUCUGGACCAGCACUGACACUGAGGCACGAAAGCGUGGGGAGCAAACAGG